CGGCAACAGCUCAGAUUUGAAAUCUGGCCCCCCCCGGGGGCCCGAGUUGUAAUUUGCAGAGGACGCUUUUGGCGCGGCGCCUUCCGAGUGCCCUGGAACGGGCCGCCGCAGAGGGUGAGAGCCCCGUACGGUCGGAUGCCAAGCCUGUGUAAAGCUCCUUCGAC
rnacentral:rRNA from 1 species